rnacentral:misc_RNA from 1 species
ACUAUAAAAGUACAUUUUUCCUAUUAAAUUUUUAUCAUUUUUUUUUGUUAUUUA